rnacentral:rRNA from 1 species
ACUCCUACGGGAGGCAGCAGUAGGGAAUCUUCCGCAAUGGGCGAAAGCCUGACGGAGCAACGCCGCGUGAGUGAUGAAGGUCUUCGGAUCGUAAAACUCUGUUAUUAGGGAAGAACAAAUGUGUAAGUAACUAUGCACGUCUUGACGGUACCUAAUCAGAAAGCCACGGCUAACUACGUGCCAGCAGCCGCGGUAAUAC